AACGAACGCUGGCGGCAGGCUUAACACAUGCAAGUCGAACGCCCCGCAAGGGGAGUGGCAGACGGGUGAGUAACGCGUGGGAAUCUACCCAGUUCUACGGAACAACUGAGGGAAACUUCAGCUAAUACCGUAUACGCCCUACGGGGGAAAGAUUUAUCGGAAUUGGAUGAGCCCGCGUAAGAUUAGCUAGUUGGUGGGGUAAAGGCCUACCAAGGCGACGAUCUUUAGCUGGUCUGAGAGGAUGAUCAGCCACACUGGGACUGAGACACGGCCCAGACUCCUACGGGAGGCAGCAGUGGGGAAUAUUGGACAAUGGGCGCAAGCCUGAUCCAGCCAUGCCGCGUGAGUGAUGAAGGCCUUAGGGUUGUAAAGCUCUUUCAGUGGGGACGAUAAUGACGGUACCCACAGAAGAAGCCCCGGCUAACUUCGUGCCAGCCGCCGCCGUAA
rnacentral:rRNA from 1 species